UACGGAAGGCAGCAGUGGGGAAUAUUGCACAAUGGGCGCAAGCCUGAUGCAGCCAUGCCGCGUGUAUGAAGAAGGCCUUCGGGUUGUAAAGUACUUUCAGUCGUGAGGAAGGUGUUAAGGUUAAUAACCUUAGCAAUUGACGUUAGCGACAGAAGAAGCACCGGCUAACUCCGUGCCAGCAGCCGCGGUAAUACGGAGGGUGCGAGCGUUAAUCGGAAUUACUGGGCGUAAAGGGCACGCAGGCGGUUAAUUAAGUUGGAUGUGAAAUCCCCGGGCUUAACCUGGGAAUGGCAUUCAAGACUGGUUAGCUAGAGUCUUGUAGAGGGGGUAGAAUUCCAUGUGUAGCGGUGAAAUGCGUAGAGAUGGUGGAGGAAUACCGGGUGGCGAAGGCGGCCCCUGGACAAAGACUGACGCUCAUGUGCGAAAGCGUGGGGAGCAAACAGGGAUUAGAUACC
rnacentral:rRNA from 1 species